rnacentral:rRNA from 1 species
GGCGGUUCGCUGCCCGCGACGUCGCGAGAAGUCCACUGAACCUUAUCAUUUAGAGGAAGGAGAAGUCGUAACAAGGUUUCCGUAGGUGAACCUGCGGAAGGAUCAUUGUCGAAACCUGCUCAGCAGAACGACCCGCGAACAAGUUUAAUUUUCASUAUUCUCGAACGGGUUGCGUCCUUUCCUUCGGGAAGGGGCUCGUCCCGAGCGAACAAUGAACCCCCGGCGCAGAACGCGUCAAGGAAUACCAUAAUGAGACUGCCUGUUGCCYRCGCUCCGUUCGCGGAAUGCACRGGUGGUGUUGGCGUCUUACUUAACAAAAAAUGACUCUCGGCAACGGAUAUCUCGGCUCUCGCAUCGAUGAAGAACGUAGCGAAAUGCGAUACUUGGUGUGAAUUGCAGAAUCCCGUGAACCAUCGAGUCUUUGAACGCAAGUUGCGCCCGAAGCCGUCAGGCUGAGGGCACGUCUGCCUGGGCGUCACGCAUCGCGUCGCCCCCCUCCUCGRCCUUGUGCCGAGCCGUGGGGAGCGGAAGAUGGYCUCCCGUGCUCCUCCCCRGUGCGUGGUUGGCCCAAAURCGAGUUCCUGACGACGGAUGUCACGGCGAGUGGUGGUCGUACCCUGCGUGCAUAUCGUCGCGCUGUGCCCCCGUCGUCCGCGGGACUAAUGACCCUUUUUGAGCCCCUCUACCGAGUCCGGCUCUUCGACCGCGACCCCAGGUCAGGCGGGACUACCCGCUGAGUUUAAGCAUAUCAAUAAG